GCUAGAACAAGCUGCACCUGAGAUCAGUCUCCAGUGGCGUUUUGGUCCGGGAAAGGCCCUGACCUGUGGCCACACAUUAUGUAACCAUGCCACGUGAAGUGCAUUAGGUGAUCACUCACAUGAGUCUGUGCCUGGCUUAGAGACACUGUUGUCUACAAAAGGUAUAAUUACCCUGCUAGCGGCUAUACAUAGGGCUUGUGCCCAGAAAGAGGAUAAAGCCAUAUCAAAACUCCCUACGAUUCCUGUAGUGUUUUUCCAGCUACUCCCCCACCGACUCCCCUCGGACCUCAGUUUGGGAUAGAACCUGACAAUUGGUGUCAUGAACAGGAUCCUGAGAUUUAGAAGCAGUGGCGUCCCUCUUGCGGCAACAUUUAGCAGCAUGUGGUUGGGCCGUCAACGAAUCCAAGGUCCAAGGUCCUGGAUUAUCUGCCAGAUUCUUGGGAGUUAUCUGGUCAGGCUCCAGUUAGUAGUUGCUGCCUAGGAGAUGAAGUGAAUUUCACAAGAAAGACAUAAGAAGCCAACAACUGCUAUUACCCCUGUAUGCACACAAGUUGAACCUAACGGCAUUAAAAGAAAAGGACAAGCUGUGAAAUGCCUAGAUUCCAGAGCAACAGACUGUGAUCCAUUCCCAACAACCCCUCCCUACCGUCUGCCACCAGUUCCCUUAAAGCAGGAAUCAGAGCUAGACUGACUCAACUAAGAAUUGUUUUGGAGAACUUGGAACUCAACAUUCCAUAAAGCAAGAAGCUUGACAUAGCAUCGAUGAGCCCAAGUCAACUAUAUGAACAAAACAAUGUCUCAGGAGGGGCAGGGUAUCACGUCAGAAGAAUCCUGAGUCCUUAGAUGACCUUGUAGAAAAGAGCCACAAACUUACUCUGGGCUACCUUCAUACCUCUGAACUAUUAUGCAGAGAGAAAUAAAUGUAUUCAAAUCACUGUUUUUUGGGUUUCUUCAUUCAUGUAGCUUAGCCUAUAACCUAAGUAA
rnacentral:lncRNA from 1 species